rnacentral:rRNA from 1 species
UAAUACAGAGGUCUCAAGCGUUGUUCGGAUUCAUUGGGCGUAAAGGGUGCGUAGGUGGCGUGGUAAGUCGGGUGUGAAAUUUCGGAGCUCAACUCCGAAACUGCAUUCGAUACUGCCGUGCUUGAGGACUGGAGAGGAGACUGGAAUUUACGGUGUAGCAGUGAAAUGCGUAGAGAUCGUAAGGAAGACCAGUGGCGAAGGCGGGUCUCUGGACAGUUCCUGACACUGAGGCACGAAGGCCAGGGGAGCAAACGGGAUUAGAUACCCCGGUAGUCCUGGCAGUAAACGGUGCACGUUUGGUGUGGGAGGAUUCGACCCCUUCCGCGCCGGAGCUAACGCGUUAAACGUGCCGCCUGGGGAGUACGGUCGCAAGAUU